GAUGAACGCUGACAGAAUGCUUAACACAUGCAAGUCUACUUGAAUUUGGGUUUUUUAACUUAGAUUUGGGUGGCGGACGGGUGAGUAACGCGUAAAGAACUUGCCUCACAGCUAGGGACAACAUUUGGAAACGAAUGCUAAUACCUGAUAUUAUGAUUUUAAGGCAUCUUAGAAUUAUGAAAGCUAUAUGCGCUGUGAGAGAGCUCUGCGUCCCAUUAGCUAGUUGGAGAGGUAACGGCUCACCAAGGCGAUGAUGGGUAGCCGGCCUGAGAGGGUGAACGGCCACAAGGGGACUGAGACACGGCCCUUACUCCUACGGGAGGCAGCAGUGGGGAAUAUUGGACAAUGGACCAAGAGUCUGAUCCAGCAAUUCUGUGUGCACGAUGACGUUUUUCGGAAUGUAAAGUGCUUUCAGUUGGGAAGAAAAAAAUGACGGUACCAACAGAAGAAGUGACGGCUAA
rnacentral:rRNA from 1 species